rnacentral:lncRNA from 1 species
GUUGUAUGCAAUAUUUUUAUAUAGGUUACCAUGUUAAUGUGUUGCAAUUGUAAAGCUUGAACACUUGCAAGUAAGCUCAAAUUGAAUGAACAUAGAAUUCCUUUGUACAGUAUGACAAGCAGCCUCUGAGAAGGUCCCCAGUUAACCUCCCUUCCUAUUUAUUCAUGCCUUGGUUCAGUCUCCUCCCCUUCGGUGUGGGUUGAAACUGGUUACUUACAAUUCAAGUGAUAACAUACUGUCAAUAUAUGCUUACAAAAAGAUUGUGACUUUUGUCUGGAACACACAUCUUCUCUCUGUCUCACUUUCACUCUGUGGGAAGACAGAUACCAUGUUGUGAGCUGCAUUCUGGUGAAGCUUGUGUCAAAAGAUUGAGGGAGGCUUUCAACCAAGAGCAGGUGAGGAAAUGAGGCUCCAGGCCAACCACCCAUGAGGGACUGAAUCAUGCCAACAGCCUGUUGAGUGACCUUGGAAGUGGAUCCUAUCUCAGUUGAACCUUAGAAUGAGACUGCUACCAGGCUGACACUUUGUGAGAAAACGCGAGCCAGAAAGCCCAGCAAAGCCGUGCCCAGAUACCAAACCCACAGGAAGUGCAAUUUUCACCUGACAACUUAUUUAUUCCUCAUAACAAUCUGAUGAGAAAUAAAGAGAAAGAAACUGAGAAAUGGAAAGUUUAGGUAACUUAUACAGAUUGCACAACCAAUGGAGUUUCGCCAUGCUUCCCAGGCUGAUCUUGAACUCUUGGGCUCAAGUGAUCCACUCACCUCAGUCUCCCAAAGUGCUGAGAUUACAGGCAUGAGCCACCGCACCUGGCCACAUUAAUAAUUCUUAACAUCCAUUAUACUUACUUCUUUUCCCUUAAUUUAGUUUUAUUAUUCUCUACAUAGUGUUAGUUUUGGUACUUCUUUUCAGGAACUGUCAUAUCUUUCAUAGAUAAUUUUACUUCACUACUUCUCUAAUUGCUAUAAUAAAUAUUAUUCACAUCCUAGAUUAUCUUACAUUAUCUUUAGUCUUUUUAUCAGCGGUUAGAGAGCUUCGGAUGUUUUUUCUGAGUUCUGUGGUAUUUUUUAUCUUUGUUUUCCCUAACUGACUGCUUUCGAUUUUUGGUAUUUAAAUUAUUUGUUCCAUGAUUUUAUGGUAUUUCUGAAUUUCAUGAUUAUGUUUGAAACUCAAAGAAUUCUGAUCUCAUAUUUUUAUCUUAUUGAUUUCUGCAUUUAUUUUAUAAAUACACUUUUCUUAUGUCUCUCUUUGAGAAAAUUGAAUUGGUGAUUAUAUAAGGUUCCUCUCUUUAUACCCUUAUUCCUCAGUAACUAAAUUACUGAGUUUCAACACUUUCUUUUAAAAAAAAGUUUUGUGAUACAUGUGUCUCCCAAAUUAAGGAGAUGAAAUGAACUCUGACAUAGAUUGCAUGGGACUCUUUUCAUGCUUUUAGGCCUAUAUAAAGAAAGAAGGGUUAAAUGGUGGGUUAUUUUAAUUCUGAGCUAUUAGAUUAGACAUUCUAUAGUCUGUGAGAAGUAAAAUGUGAGGCAUAGCUAAGGGCAAUCCAGGCAGAGAGACUAUUGUAGCUGCCCAAAAUGACAUGCUGCAGAAUCUCCACUCCUUGUAUAGCACACGUACCUCUGUUAAAAAUCUUCCUUUUCAUACUACUUUGGGAGCAAGGAGUAAGCAUAUUUUAUACUAUACAGAGCAUGCCAUUUUGGUGGUAGCAUGGUUAUAAAAAUUAAUAUUUGGUCCCAUAAAUUGAAUUGUAGUAAAAAUUUACACCAUAUUCUGUCAUUUCAAACUGUGCGAUAUUAAUGUUCUCUUGUCCUUUCCUCCCAGCAGGGGUGCCUUUAACUUACAUUUGAGGCAGUGUAUCUUUAUUUUUAAUAGAAGUACAUAUAAGGAAAUAUGUACUUAAUCUUUGAAAGUUUAAUCACAACUAGUCACUUACAUUUAGACUCUGACAUUUACUCAUAAAAUGUUUGCUAAAAAUUUAAAUGCAGAAAUGGGAGUAAUACAUGUUUUAAAAAGCAUCUACUGCAAUCAGGAUUCUUUCCUUGUUGAUAUAACAGUGCCUACCAUCGCUGGCCAUGAGGCAUUGCACAUCCCCUUUUCAGAUAUAAGUUUAUGUAAGUAAUUUGCCGUAGAAACAUUUCUGUUUCCUUCUGCUUUAAAAAUUUUGUUAUAAGUCUCAAAAUCUUGUGUAUUUAGUUCAAUAGAAUGAGCACCAAACUUGAUGUCAGGGUAACAUGGCUGAAUUAUUAGUUCUCUGGAUAUCUAGGCAUUUUACCAGUAACCAAAGAUACAAUAUAUUAAACUUGUGUCUUUACAGAAGAUGAAUUCAGAAAAUUGGGCUUAAGAAUACAUAAAAAUGUGUGUUUUCUUCAGGAGUAAAUAAAAUAAUCUAUAAGAAAGUGUUUUGUUGCUCUUUAUUAAUUUCCUUGACAUACUGCUGAGCUUUUCUUGCAUGCCAG